GCUGGGUAUGGUGGCGCAUGCCUGUAAUCCCAGCUACUUGGGAGGCUGAGGCAGGAGAAUCACUUGAACCCGGGAGAUGAAGGUUGCAGUGAGGUGAGGUCGCACCACUGCAGUCCAGCCUGGGCAACAGAGCGAGACUCUGUCUCCA
rnacentral:SRP_RNA from 1 species